CAGCCUCCAACAUGUUAUGAUUUUGCUUAUGACGUUGACGGUCCAAAAUGGGAGAAUAAUGCAAAGGGUAGACUGCUCGACGAGUUGGGAUUGUGUUUUCAUGGAUAGCAAUAGGAGAAGAUACCGUACGUGAAAGGCGGGCAAACAAUAAAUUGUAAUCACUUCAGUCUCGUCUUUAAUCCCCUCAUAACAAAUUGGACAAGUUUUAUAUUUUAGAUUUUUGACCUGACAUGGAGAUGUAAUCUCCUCAUUACAUGCCUGAACUUAAACAAAUACUCUGGUUUCAUCCACCUCAAUGGGUGGGCUCGUUGAAAACCUCCCACCUUCACCAGUAUAUUCCCAUAAGACUUGAAGAAACUCAAGCAUAUCAUUAGUGUAUUUACAAUAUAGUAUCAUUCCCAUAAUCAGCACCACUCACCUCACGUACGGUGAAAACCCCCUCCUCUUCCUCAAAUAGGCGAUCGAAAGGAAUAUCAAAAGGAUUAGGUGAAACGUUAAGAGCAUCAAUAUCACCAGUACACUUGACCCAGUGAUUUUGUGUGAUUUCAGCGACGGCUACAUACUACAACUUCAUUUUGCUCUAAAUAGCCCUACUAAAUCAAACUUGAAGACACUUCAAAAUCUUCAAAUUAUCAGUGAAUUCCAGCC
rnacentral:lncRNA from 1 species